ensembl:ncRNA C43D7.14 ncRNA
UUUGAGCCAAGUUAUGAUGAUUUAAAGUUGAUGGCCUAGAAAACCAAAAUUU